CCGACUCAUCGCGAUAUGUAGAAC
rnacentral:miRNA from 1 species